GUCGGACCUGCCCGGUGAAUUUUUUUUAACGGCCGCGGUAUUUUGACCGUGCAAAGGUAGCAUAAUCAUUUGCCUUAUAAUUGAAGGCUAGAAUGAAUGGUUUGACAAGGGUGUAGCUGUCUCUUUACAAUUUUAUAAAAUUUUAUUUACAGCUGAAGAAGUCUGUAUUUAAAUAAUAGACAAGAAGACCCUAUCGAGCUUUAAAGAAAUUAAUGGAGUAAGUAGAUAAUCUUUAACUUAUAGACAUAUAGAUAGUUAGCUAUUAAAAAUUUUGGUUGGGGCGACUGAGGAACACGGAAAGCUUCCUUUAAAAAUUCUAGAUACACAGAUUUUGAUCCAAUGUUUUUGWNUAAAGAAAUUAGUUACCGUAGGGAUAACAGCAUUAUCUUUUUUGAGAGUUCCUAUCGAAAAAAAGGUUUGUGACCUCGAUGUUGGACCAGAAUGUCCUAAAGAUGCAGCCGUCUUUAAGGGUUGGUCUGUUCGACCAUUAAAAUUCUACGUGAUCU
rnacentral:rRNA from 1 species